GGAGGAGGCCAGGCGACCGCCUUCUGCUACAUGCGGGGGGAGGAAAGUCCGAACACCACAGGACAGGACGCCCCUUUAUGGGGGCGCCGCAAGGCGACGGAAAGUGCCACAGAAAAUAUACCGCUCCGGUUAUCCGGAGUAAGGGUGAAAUGGUGAGGUAAGAGCUCACCGCUCAGGUGGUAACAUCUGAGGCAGGGUAAACCCCGUCCGGUGCAAGACCAAAUAAGCGAAAAAUUCCGCUUGAGCGGAAGUGAAGCGGUCCGUUUCAUUCGAUUCGCGGGUAGGUCGCGUAGAUAAAUGGUCGUCCAUGACAGAAUUCGGCUUAUCGGCCCCCUCCUAAA
rnacentral:RNase_P_RNA from 1 species